GAUGAACGCUGGCGGCGUGCCUAAUACAUGCAAGUCGAACGCUGGAAAUCUAGCUUGCUAGAUUGAAGGAGUGGCGAACGGGUGAGUAAUACAUAAGCAACCUACCCACGAAGACUGGGAUAAUCUCUGGAAACGGGGACUAAUACCGGAUAGGUAAUCGGAAGGCAUCUUCUGAUUAUUAAAGGUUAAAAACACUGGUGGAUGGGCUUAUGGCGCAUUAGUUAGUUGGUGAGGUAACGGCCCACCAAGACGAUGAUGCGUAGCCGGCCUGAGAGGGUGAACGGACACAUUGGGACUGAGAAACGGCCCAGACUCCUACGGGAGGCAGCAGUAGGGAAUUUUCGGCAAUGGGGGAAACCCUGACCGAGCAACGCCGCGUGAGUGAUGACGGCCUUCGGGUUGUAAAGCUCUGUUGUAAGGGAAGAACGGUAGAUAGAGAAUAUCUAAAUGACGGUACCUUACCAGAAAGCCACGGCUAACUACGUG
rnacentral:rRNA from 1 species